AAUGGGGAAACCCAGUGUGACUCGUCACACUAUCAUUAACUGAAUCCAUAGGUUAAUGAGGCGAACCGGGGGAACUGAAACAUCUAAGUACCCCGAGGAAAAGAAAUCAACCGAGAUUCCCCCAGUAGCGGCGAGCGAACGGGGAGGAGCCCAGAGCCUGAAUCAGCAUGUGUGUUAGUGGAAGCGUCUGGAAAGGCGCGCGAUACAGGGUGACAGCCCCGUACACAAAAGCGCAUGUGCUGUGAGCUCGAUGAGUAGGGCGGGACACGUGGUAUCCUGUCUGAAUAUGGGGGGACCAUCCUCCAAGGCUAAAUACUCCUGACUGACCGAUAGUGAACCAGUACCGUGAGGGAAAGGCGAAAAGAACCCCGGCGAGGGGAGUGAAAAAGAACCUGAAACCGUGUACGUACAAGCAGUGGGAGCACAGGUUUACCUGUGUGACUGCGUACCUUUUGUAUAAUGGGUCAGCGACUUAUAUUCUGUAGCAAGGUUAACCGAAUAGGGGAGCCGGAGGGAAACCGAGUCUUAAUUGGGCGUUAAGUUGCAGGGUAUAGACCCGAAACCCGGUGAUCUAGCCAUGGGCAGGUUGAAGGUUGGGUAACACUAACUGGAGGACCGAACCGACUAAUGUUGAAAAAUUAGCGGAUGACCUGUGGCUGGGGGUGAAAGGCCAAUCAAACCGGGAGAUAGCUGGUUCUCCCCGAAAGCUAUUUAGGUAGCGCCUCGUGAAUUCAUCUCCGGGGGUAGAGCACUGUUUCGGCUAGGGGGCCAUCCCGGCUUACCAACCCGAUGCAAACUGCGAAUACCGGAGAAUGUUAUCACGGGAGACACACGGCGGGUGCUAACGUCCGUCGUGAAGAGGGAAACAACCCAGACCGCCAGCUAAGGUCCCAAAGUCAUGGUUAAGUGGGAAACGAUGUGGGAAGGCCCAGACAGCCAGGAUGUUGGCUUAGAAGCAGCCAUCAUUUAAAGAAAGCGUAAUAGCUCACUGGUCGAGUCGGCCUGCGCGGAAGAUGUAACGGGGCUAAACCAUGCACCGAAGCUGCGGCAGCGACACUGUGUGUUGUUGGGUAGGGGAGCGUUCUGUAAGCCUGUGAAGGUGUGUCGUGAGGCAUGCUGGAGGUAUCAGAAGUGCGAAUGCUGACAUAAGUAACGAUAAAGCGGGUGAAAAGCCCGCUCGCCGGAAGACCAAGGGUUCCUGUCCAACGUUAAUCGGGGCAGGGUGAGUCGACCCCUAAGGCGAGGCCGAAAGGCGUAGUCGAUGGGAAACGGGUUAAUAUUCCCGUACUUGGUGUUACUGCGAAGGGGGGACGGAGAAGGCUAUGUUGGCCGGGCGACGGUUGUCCCGGUUUAAGCGUGUAGGUGUGUGUUCCAGGUAAAUCCGGUUCACUUUAACACUGAGGCGUGACGACGAGGCACUACGGUGCUGAAGCAACAAAUGCCCUGCUUCCAGGAAAAGCCUCUAAGCAUCAGGUAACAUCAAAUCGUACCCCAAACCGACACAGGUGGUCAGGUAGAGAAUACCAAGGCGCUUGAGAGAACUCGGGUGAAGGAACUAGGCAAAAUGGUGCCGUAACUUCGGGAGAAGGCACGCUGACACGUAGGUGAAGUGAUUUACUCAUGGAGCUGAAGUCAGUCGAAGAUACCAGCUGGCUGCAACUGUUUAUUAAAAACACAGCACUGUGCAAACACGAAAGUGGACGUAUACGGUGUGACGCCUGCCCGGUGCCGGAAGGUUAAUUGAUGGGGUCAGCGCAAGCGAAGCUCCUGAUCGAAGCCCCGGUAAACGGCGGCCGUAACUAUAACGGUCCUAAGGUAGCGAAAUUCCUUGUCGGGUAAGUUCCGACCUGCACGAAUGGCGUAAUGAUGGCCAGGCUGUCUCCACCCGAGACUCAGUGAAAUUGAACUCGCUGUGAAGAUGCAGUGUACCCGCGGCAAGACGGAAAGACCCCGUGAACCUUUACUAUAGCUUGACACUGAACAUUGAGCCUUGAUGUGUAGGAUAGGUGGGAGGCUUUGAAGUGUGGACGCCAGUCUGCAUGGAGCCGACCUUGAAAUACCACCCUUUAAUGUUUGAUGUUCUAACGUGGACCCGUUACCCGGGUUGCGGACAGUGUCUGGUGGGUAGUUUGACUGGGGCGGUCUCCUCCUAAAGAGUAACGGAGGAGCACGAAGGUUGGCUAAUCCUGGUCGGACAUCAGGAGGUUAGUGCAAUGGCAUAAGCCAGCUUGACUGCGAGCGUGACGGCGCGAGCAGGUGCGAAAGCAGGUCAUAGUGAUCCGGUGGUUCUGAAUGGAAGGGCCAUCGCUCAACGGAUAAAAGGUACUCCGGGGAUAACAGGCUGAUACCGCCCAAGAGUUCAUAUCGACGGCGGUGUUUGGCACCUCGAUGUCGGCUCAUCACAUCCUGGGGCUGAAGUAGGUCCCAAGGGUAUGGCUGUUCGCCAUUUAAAGUGGUACGCGAGCUGGGUUUAGAACGUCGUGAGACAGUUCGGUCCCUAUCUGCCGUGGGCGCUGGAGAACUGAGGGGGGCUGCUCCUAGUACGAGAGGACCGGAGUGGACGCAUCACUGGUGUUCGGGUUGUCAUGCCAAUGGCACUGCCCGGUAGCUAAAUGCGGAAGAGAUAAGUGCUGAAAGCAUCUAAGCACGAAACUUGCCCCGAG
rnacentral:rRNA from 1 species